rnacentral:rRNA from 1 species
GACGAACGCUGGCGGCGUGCCNAAUACAUGCAAGUCGAGCGAAGUUUUUCUGGUGCUUGCACCGGAAAAACUUAGCGGCGAACGGGUGAGUAACACGUAAAGAACCUGCCUCAUAGACUGGGACAACUAUUGGAAACGAUAGCUAAUACCGGAUAACAGCAUUAACUGCAUGGUUGAUGUUUAAAAGUUGGUUUUGCUAACACUAUGAGAUGGCUUUGCGGUGCAUUAGCUAGUUGGUGGGGUAAAGGCCUACCAAGGCGACGAUGCGUAGCCGACCUGAGAGGGUGAUCGGCCACACUGGGACUGAGACACGGCCCAGACUCCUACGGGAGGCAGCAGUAGGGAAUCUUCCGCAAUGGGCGAAAGCCUGACGGAGCAACGCCGCGUGAGUGAAGAAGGAUUUCGGUUCGUAAAGCUCUGUUGUUAGGGAAGAAUGAUUGUGUAGUAACUAUACACAGUAGAGACGGUACCUAACCAGAAAGCCACGGCUAACUACGUGCCAGCAGCCACGGUAAUACGUAGGUGGCAAGCGUUGUCCGGAAUUAUUGGGCGUAAAGCGCGCGCAGGUGGUUUAAUAAGUCUGAUGUGAAAGCCCACGGCUCAACCGUGGAGGGUCAUUGGAAACUGUUAAACUUGAGUGCAGGAGAGAAAAGUGGAAUUCCUAGUGUAGCGGUGAAAUGCGUAGAGAUUAGGAGGAACACCAGUGGCGAAGGCGGCUUUUUGGCCUGUAACUGACACUGAGGCGCGAAAGCGUGGGGAGCAAACAGG